AUUGAACGCUGGCGGCAGGCCUAACACAUGCAAGUCGAGCGGCAGCGGAAAGUAGCUUGCUACUUUGCCGGCGAGCGGCGGACGGGUGAGUAAUGUCUGGGAAAUUGCCUGAUGGAGGGGGAUAACUACUGGAAACGGUAGCUAAUACCGCAUAACGUCGCAAGACCAAAGAGGGGGACCUUCGGGCCUCUUGCCAUCAGAUGUGCCCAGAUGGGAUUAGCUAGUAGGUGGGGUAACGGCUCACCUAGGCGACGAUCCCUAGCUGGUCUGAGAGGAGGACCAGACACACUGGAACGGGGACACGGUCCAGAUUACUACGGGAGGCAGAAGUGGGGAAUAUUGCACAAGGGGCGCAAGCCUGAUGCAGCCAUGCCGCGUGUAUGAAGAAGGCCUUCGGGUUGUAAAGUACUUUCAGCGGGGAGGAAGGCGUUGUGGUUAAUAACCACAGCGAUUGACGUUACCCGCAGAAGAAGCACCGGCUAACUCCGUGCCAGCCGCCGCCGUAA
rnacentral:rRNA from 1 species